rnacentral:rRNA from 1 species
CAGCAGCCGCGGUAAUACGUAGGUGGCAAGCGUUGUCCGGAAUUAUUGGGCGUAAAGGGCUCGCAGGCGGUUUCUUAAGUCUGAUGUGAAAGCCCCCGGCUCAACCGGGGAGGGUCAUUGGAAACUGGGAAACUUGAGUGCAGAAGAGGAGAGUGGAAUUCCACGUGUAGCGGUGAAAUGCCUAGAGAUGUGGAGGAACACCAGUGGCGAAGGCGACUCUCUGGUCUGUAACUGACGCUGAGGAGCGAAAGCGUGGGGAGCGAACAGGAUUAGAUACCCGAGUAGUCCCUGUCUCUUAUAC